UGUGUCCCAGGAUGGUGCUGCGUGCCUGGGAGCAGUGAUGUGCUGAUAAAUGUUUCACAAGUGGCUCUUUGGAAGAAAAGUCAUGAUCUGCAGUGUUUGCCAGUUUCCAUGGUGUAACUACUCAGAGAAUGUCAGAUUUCAUGCUACCCACGUGAUGUUACUCAACGGAAAACUGGGACGACUUCACAGUAACACAGCAUCAUGUGUCAUUUCCACCACACGGAUACAGACAUUGAAUCUGGUCACCAUGUCAUGGGGAUAUUCAAGCAGCCCCAUGGAGAAGUCAAUGCAGCCGGGAACUGAGGCCUCCUGCCAGCUACAGCACCAGCUGGGCAGCACCGUGCAUGAGCCGUCUUGGAAGUGGAUCUUCCAGCCCCAGUCAUGCUGGUGCCUUUGGCUGACUGGGCCUCAGCCAACCUCUGAGGGAUCCUGAAGCAGAACCACUGAGGAAGCCUACCAAGUGCAGAGGAACAUUCUUCAGCUUCUACAAAGAAUCCGGCCUCUCAUUUUUCUUGAAACUCACAGCUAUCUUGGUGUGUCUUAUUUUUUUUCCCUCUUGAUAGAGAAGUGCUACAAAGAAAUGUUUCUGUACUUUAAUGAAAAGACGAAGUAAGUAAAA